UACAGAGGGUGCGAGCGUUGUCCGGAAUCACUGGGCGUAAAGGGCGCGUAGGUGGCGACCCAAGUCUGUGGUGAAAGCUCGACGCUCAACGUCGAGUCGGCCAUAGAUACUGGGUUGCUUGAGCACUGUAGAGGCAGAUGGAAUUCCAGGUGUAGCGGUGAAAUGCGUAGAUAUCUGGAGGAACACCGGUGGCGAAGGCGACAUCCUGGACCGGUAUUGACGCUGAGGCGCGAAAGCCAGGGGAGCAAACGGG
rnacentral:rRNA from 1 species